rnacentral:rRNA from 1 species
UACGUAGGUGGCAAGCGUUGUCCGGAAUCACUGGGCGUAAAGCGCGCGCAGGCGGCGAUCUACGUCUGGGGUGAAAGCCCGGAGCUCAACUCCGGGACUGCCUUGGAUACGGGAUCGCUUGAGGAUUGGAGAGGCAAGGGGAAUUCCACGUGUAGCGGUGAAAUGCGUAGAUAUGUGGAGGAACACCUGUGGCGAAGGCGGCUUGCUGGCCAAUUUCUGACGCUGAGGCGCGAAAGCGUGGGGAGCAAACAGG